AGGCUGUCUUCCGGCACCAUGGAAGCCCUUGCCACCAGAAUAGAUUAAUUUUGUCAUUGCCCUUUCUCCAUUUCUGUCUUUAACCAGAAAAAAGAGGUUAAUUGUGUGCCAUUUCUCAGGAGAAUGAGGAGGAAAGGAGGAAUUUACUGGAGAUGAGAGCCCGGAUAUUGGAUGGGUGUUCACAUGGACCUGGAAUUGGACAAAGGCAGAAGUGGCCGUGGUCAAUUGUCAAAGUCUUCAGAGAAUGAAUAAAAGUGAUUAGAAGUUUGAAGAAGAUGGAAAAGGAAGAGCUGUUGGUAGCAGGCUGCCCGGGAGGUUGCUGUGGCAUCAUAUCUGCUCUCUUCCUUUAUGUCAUCAGGAAGGUCAUGGAGGAAACAAGUGCGUGUCACGCGCUGUGUCCUUGGGAAUGCCCGGUCCUCAUCAGAAAGGCCCAGUCCUUCACCCUGCACCACAACUGACGCCAAAGCACAGACAGGAUUCAGAGGAAAUGAGGGCAACGGUCCUUGGCACCUUUUAAAGACACAAAAGCAGAAUUUGUGAAGCCGAAAAAGACCCUGGAAUAAGGCAGACCAAACUCCAACUCCCUUUAUUCUCCAGCUGAAGAAACCAAGACCAAGUAUGAUAAUGGUAGAACUGGCAAGUCAAGGACUCUAGGCAAGUAUACCAAAUCCUUCAUUCUUUCCUCAAACAGUACUUCUGUAACGAAAGGGAUCAUUUGUUCUUAUAAACCUUUUCCUAAACUUUUUGGCUUACCAACAUUUCAUUCCUUCACUCAUCCAACUGAAUUGAGCACUCAUUCUGUUCCUAACAUGUGCUGGGGAUACCAAGAUGAAUGAAGUGUGUCUCAAUUCUGAUGUAACACAGAGAGUAGGGGAAGAGAGAGGGACGUGUGAACACACCAUCUGAUGGGAAAAGGGUCUAAGGGAGUUAUGCAUAAGGAACCCUGUAUACAAAGAGAGGAAGACAAUACAAGUUACUUUUUAGUAUUUUCCACACAUCUAAAGACAAACAGACUCUCUUUGGCGUGGCACAAAUGUUGCAUUGGAAAUCUAUGUCAUUGGUGGUUAUGGACAUUUUGAGUGCGACAGUCUUGGCUCCUCUCCGUUGAAUUCCAGUAACACAUACCUCCUGGAUCAAAAACAAAUGCACCAGGACCGCCAAGGGUGUGCGCUGCGUCGGUCGAGAACCUCUGCCUAAGCUAACAGACAGCAAGCAUCUACCUGCAGUAAAGCCGCUGACCUCACUCUGAGAAACAAACAGAAGCGGAAUGGUGUUUUCCAAAUGGUUUGAAGCACUAAAAAUAAGAGUGUAAGUUUGGAGCAGAUGAUUUUGGCUGAUGAUCAAUUCCAUUAGCCAAAUGCGAACACAAGCAUUGCAGUCUAUAAAAAUAGCAAAGAUCUCACCAUUUUACAGUUGCAUCUUAUUAAUUCCACAUCUCACAAAUUUGGCUUUGGAUUAGGACAGACUCACGUUUAUUUUUGCUUUGACUUGGAUAAAUGAGUUCACUAAGCAAAAACAUAAACAAACAAUGGAGAAAGAAAAUACUUGCCUCACUUACGCACAAUUAACAUCACUCAUUUUACAGGUAAAAAACAAACAUGUAACUCGUGAAUGAUUCCAGUAGUUAGGGAAGCUCAGCUUGAUAAUUAUAGGAGCAAUUUUAAAAAGGAGAAUUAUAAGUAUGUGUUUGUUUGCUAGGGUUUCCAUAACAAAUGGCCACAAACUGGGUGGUUUAUGACAACAGAAACUCAUCCUCUCAUGGUUGUGGGGGCCAGGAAUCUGAGCUCCAGGUGGAGGCCAUCUGCUCUCUCUCUGGAGGCUCGAGGGGGAGAAUCCCUCCUUAUCUCUUCCAGCUUCUGCUGGCUCCAGCCUGGUCCUUCACAAACUCUUUCCUUUUCCAACCGUAUUUCAAUGACCCAUCUCAGGGCCUUUGUAAUACUCUUCCCCAUGCUUGGGACACUCCCUUCCUCCUCAUCCCCGACUUCUGAUGUCCUUGCCACUCUUCUGCUGCCCUGUCACUUUCUCCACCUCAGUGUGUCUGUUUGUCAUGGAUGCAGGGCUCAUGGCUCUUCUUCAUUAGCAUCAGCCUGGUACCUAGUGCAGUGCCUGGCAUAGAGUAGGUGCCCAGUGAACAUAUUUUCAAGGAACAAAUCAAUAAGGAAGGGAGGAAGGGAAGAAGGAAGGAAGAGCAGACGGAGGUGUGGGAAGGUCAAGUUACUUUCUAAGUACUGGGUGCGCUAACUUAUUUAAUUUCCCCAACCACCCGAUCACAUAGCUGUUAUGCGUACCAUCUACAUUUCAUUUCAUUUCAUUUCAUUUUUCAUUUUAUAAGUGGUAAAAAACAGAGGCUCAGGGAGAAGAAUGUGCCCAAACUGCUUUAAAACCUUUGGGAAAUAAUUAUUCAGAAAGAAAGGAACUAAAAAUGACUCGUGUGAGGUUGGCUGUGGUAGAAAAGUCUGGAAGGAUAGCCACCAAAUGUUAAUAGGGUUAUCUUUGCGUGAUGGAUUGUAUUAUUAAGUUUUUGCUUUUCUUGCUUAUCUGAAUGAUUUUUUUUUAAAUGAACCAAUAUUUAACAGGUGAAAGGCAGCUGCAUUUGGGCUGGAGUACAGGGGGUAUAAUCAUCUCUGAUGGAAAGGGUGCAUUUCUGGAAUGCAGGACAGGUCAGAGUUGCAAGGAGAGAGUAGUUUAAUAUACUUCAUGUCUUGGAGCUUGAGGUUAGACCCAGGAGUCAAAUUACUUGUCAUUUCAUUUUUUUUGUGUGUGUCUAGCGUAAAACUAGAAUGUUGUUUAACCACGGAUGCUACAUUUUGUUUAUUUUUCAAUAAGAAUCAGAAAUGUUCUGUGUGUUUCUAAAUCAUGCAGCCAGUUUUGCUUUUGAGCAUCCUGAAGAGAAUGCUGUUUUUUCUGCUGUUGUCACCAAUAGCCACUGUUUCAUGCUUCAGAGAGGAAAAGUCCUUCCUCAGUACUCUAACUGCUUCUGGAAUGGGUGUAAGUAUCUCACACUUUUAGCCUUCUUUGAGCUAAAUUUUAUUCCGGAGGUUAAAUGUAUAGCUCUCAAGCUUUUCUCUUUAGCUCUGAUUUAUUUAUUUAUGUUUCUUUGACAAUUUUAACUGUGGGAAUAAAUAGAUAAUCAGCAGAGUCCCUCUCAUUAUGCUGGGCCCACCUGCUUUCUCUUGCUAAUGGAUUAAGCAGGACAGUUAUUGUCCGGUGAGGCUCCCCAUACACUCAUCUACGUGGUCUGACUCAUCCAACAUUGUGAUUGUUUUGCUGUUGUCCUCCAUCCUGUUUGUUUCCUGAGGAUAGCAGCUCUGUUUGGCCCCCAAAAGAUAGCCUUGUUCUUACAACUGUGGAAUCUUCCCAUCUGAAAAGUAUAGAGCGGUUGUAUUAGUCAGGGUUCUCCAGAGAAACAGAACUGAUAGAAUGUGUACGCGUGUGUUUAUACAUGUAGAGGGAUGUGUAUCUCUCUCUCUCUCUAUAUAUAUGCAUAUAUACAUAUAUGCACAUCUAUUUUCUAUCUAUCUAUCUAUCUAUCUAUCUAUCUAUCUAUCUAUCUAUCAUCUAUCAUCUAUCUAUCAAGAGAUUUUAAGGGAUUGGUUCAUGUGGUUAUCAAGGCUGGCGAGUCUAAAAUCUGCAGGGUGAGCCAGCAGGCUGAAGACCCCGGAACAACUGAUGUAGCAGUUCAAGUCCAAAAGCCACCUGCUGCCAGAAUUCCUUCUUGCUCAGCAAGCUCAGUCUUUGUUCCGUUAAGGCCUUCAACUGAUUGGAUAAGGCCCACCCACACUGUAGAGAAUAAUCUACUCAAAGUCCACCAAUUUAAUGGAGAUACUUAUUCCUUAUUUUUUCCUGGCUUAUCCGUUGAGGUUGUUUUGCUAUCUUGUGACAUGCUGCAGUGAAAUUUAGUUUUGCUUACGUUAGGGUCUGCUGUUUCUCUUUAGAAUUACCAAGGGAGCGGGUGGAUAUAACAGGGAGAAAAUUACACAGGAAGCAUUUUAUUUUAUUUUAUUUUUAAGAUUUUUAUUUAUUUGAGAGAGAGAUUGAGAGAACAAGCAGGAGGAGGGAGAGAGGGAGAAGCAGACUCCCUGCUGAGCAGA